GGGGAUUAGUGGCGAACGGGUGAGUAACACGUGGGCAAUCUGCCCUGCACUCUGGGACAAGCCCUGGAAACGGGGUCUAAUACCGGAUACUCACUGCCUUGGGCAUCCUUGGUGGUGGAAAGCUCCGGCGGUGCAGGAUGAGCCCGCGGCCUAUCAGCUAGUUGGUGAGGUAAUGGCUCACCAAGGCGACGACGGGUAGCCGGCCUGAGAGGGCGACCGGCCACACUGGGACUGAGACACGGCCCAGACUCCUACGGGAGGCAGCAGUGGGGAAUAUUGCACAAUGGGCGAAAGCCUGAUGCAGCGACGCCGCGUGAGGGAUGACGGCCUUCGGGUUGUAAACCUCUUUCAGCAGGGAAGAAGCGAGAGUGACGGUACCUGCAGAAGAAGCGCCGGCUAACUACGUGCCAGCAGCCGCGGUAAUACGUAGGGCGCAAGCGUUGUCCGGAAUUAUUGGGCGUAAAGAGCUCGUAGGCGGCUUGUCACGUCGGUUGUGAAAGCCCGGGGCUUAACCCCGGGUCUGCAGUCGAUACGGGCAGGCUAGAGUUCGGUAGGGGAGAUCGGAAUUCCUGGUGUAGCGGUGAAAUGCGCAGAUAUCAGGAGGAACACCGGUGGCGAAGGCGGAUCUCUGGGCCGAUACUGACGCUNAGGAGCGAAAGCGUGGGGAGCG
rnacentral:rRNA from 2 species